UCAGUCUCUCAGACUGUAAGCUUCAAACAGUCAGCUCCAACUUUUUUUGCAACUUUCAAUUCCCUUUCACUGUAAAAACAUUUACCAAUCUCAACCUUUCAACCCAAAGCAACUGAAAAAUUGUCCAAAUUUGGGUUCCAAUCAAACUCCAACACACAAAAUCCUUUGAAACAUUCCUUUCAUUUUAUCCAUUUACAACUUUACCUUAUCAAUCUCAAGUCACAAAUUACAAAUGAAAUUGUAAACCUAAAAACCGAAACCUCAGAAAAUUCAAAUAUGAAAAGAGUUUUUUUUGAGGAAAAAAGACUGAAAAAUCUCUUUUUUCCUCAACACUUUUCGUUUCUUUUUGCAACUUGACCAAAAAUCAACUUUACCAUCAUGUUGCCCUGAACCUGAACCAUUUUCAUCCAGAUAUCAUCUCAACUCACCAUGAUUAACCAACAUGAUAAUAAUGUUAAUCAUCGCCAUCUUCCAUUUGUCUUUUUUUCUCAGUCAACAUCAACAUCACCAUUGUGAGUAUGCUUCUUGCCUCUUCAUAUAUACAUUUAUAUAUUCACUUUGUUUUCCUCCUCUUUUCCCAUCCUCUCUCCAUCUUCAUCAUCUUCAUCAUCCUCAUCACUUUGCUCCUAUAAAAAUCUUGCUCUCAUCCACUUGCUCUUUACCAUCCUCUUUCAUUCCUCUUCUCCUUUCCAUUUCCCUUUCUCCAAACGCAAUCCCUGUCUCUCUGUGCUUCUACAUUAUCAUCAAUAUUCUCCUCAUCCUUAUCUUCAUCUUCAUCCUUCCGCCAUUUUCCUUUCUCGCCUCUUUAUUUCUUCUUUUCCUUCGAUUCAAUUUCUUUCUUUUUUUUCUCCUUCAACACAUUCAUUGACUCUACUUACCUUAACCAAUCACAAUUAACCCUUAACAUUUUCAAGGCCAAUUUGACCCGUAACAAAACAAAUCAAAUGCCAAAAAAACACUCCAAACUCGAAGUUUAAAAGCAAAAUUGUUUCAUCAAAAUGUCACCAAAAACCGUCAUUUUAUCCAUCUUUUUGUUAAUCCAGUCAAAGUAAGACAAUUUUUUUUCCUUUUCCUACUAAACAUCCUUUACAAUUAGACUUUGCUUUCCAUUUGAUCACAAUUUAUUUAAUCAUUUUGUCAUUUGUUACAAUCAAUUUAACCUCAAUGUUUGCGUUUGUCUGUCCAUUGAAAUUGUUAAACUUUCUUGUUCUUCUUCCUCCUCCUUUCAUUCAAUUUGCACCUAACAAUCCAUAAAUGUCUUUCCUUUGUCAUGCAAUCUUGCCAUUGAAAUACUCAUUUUAAAUUUUAUUCAAUUAUCAUUUUCUUUUCUUCUUCUUUCCAAGGAAUUCAUUGCUUUGCUCUAAUUCAGGGCCUUUCAUCGUAUUAUUGUUAACUGACUUAAUUAUAAUCCAUUGACGGAUUAUGUGUUCCUUCAUCUCCUUAUCAUUUCCGCUGUCCAGACAGAUUAAUGUUAAAAUGACCUGGACGGAGAACUGAUAAGGGCAAGCAGGGACAGUUAAACAACAAUUAAGCCAUUCGUCGAUACUUUAUUGGGAAAUUGCUUCUUCGCAAGCAAAUGCGGUAACGCAAAGUAACAUGGAGAUGUUUCCAAAAGUCCUGGGAAGAGUUUUCUUUUCUUUGUGCAUUUCUCAGAUAUCAAAGCUACACUAUCCAAACUUAAUAUGUUGAAUUUUCAGAAAAAUUAAAUCAUUAUAUUACGAGAUACAAGAAAUAAACCAAAAAGUCCCAUGAUUUAUCCACACAGGUUAUGAAAACUUGUCAAAGUCGAAAAAGUGACACAUUUCGAUGCGGGAACCUUUCCUUAUUUUUAAACAGUCCAUCCUAAAGUUUUGAUAAUUUUCUUUCUCGUGGUGAUAUCUUUGAUGAGAUCAAGAAGCACGUGAAAGGUCUCUUUAUUCAUUCGGAAUCUUUUUUUGAAUUCAAAAUUAUCGAACAGUACAAAAAGGUCAUUUUUGUUCUUCUUUGAGGAUUUCUGCGCUGACGCAAACCAAAAGCGGAUAGAUAUUCAUCCGUUUUUGAGCGAUUCAGAAAUAAGUUAGUGGAAAUAGCAAUUUAGACAUAAAUUGUUUUGCUGAUUAUUCAGCAACCAGAUUACUUAAAGAAUUUAUUUUUGUGAAUUUUUGUUAAUUGAAUACUCAUAAUACACCACAAGUUGCUCCUUUUCCUAUUCACAUUCUAGCUCAUAAAAAAUCGAAGAAAAUAAUCUGUCAAACUUUCAAUUUUUUAAAUUUAACUUCAUUUUCAAUGUAAUUUUUCGCUAACUCCUUGUUUAAUUUUCUAACUUUUGCCUUUUUUGGCGUUUUUAUGGUUCAGAAGUGAUUGAAUCUUUUUCGUAAAGGAGUAUUUAUAAAAACUCUGACUUUUGAGUUAAGAGUAGGGACUUUGGGGAUUUUUAGGGGCAUAAAAGCUGAGUCCAAUACUGUUAUUAAAAAAUUUCUCUGAUCGACAGUUUUCGAGAAAAUCGAGGUCAAAGUCGUAACUUCGAUCUCCCUUUGAACAGUUAUGGAAUAAGAUUUAUCGACCGCGAUCUAAGACCGUAAUAGUAAGAGAGAUGAAACUUAUUAUUUGGUGAUAAAAAUUGCUGGUACAUAUCACGAAUCGAACACUUUUUUCAAUUUAUCAAUAGUUCUCUUGAUUUUGGCCAUUGGCCUAAAAACUUUGAGCCUGAAUAUUUCGAUAAUGAUCGCACUUACAAUAAUUGUUUUUUGACUGUUCAAAAGGAGAUCGAAGUUACGACUUUGACCUCGAUUUUCUCGAAAACUGUCGAUCAGAGAAAUUUUUUAAUAACAGUAUUGGACUCAGCUUUUAUGCCCCAAAAAAUCCCCAAAGUCCCUACUCAUAACUCAAAAGUCAGAGUUUUUAUAAAUACUCCUUUCAAAUUAUUGUUUUUUUGCAUAAUUUAGUCUAUGCUGGCGAUCUUGAUCAAGUUUAGAGUUAAUUUCGGAUAACUAUCGUCUUUUUUGAGGCCGUUUUCAAUAAUCCGCUAUUAUUUGCCACUUUUGAAUUUGUGGACUUUUUACCGAGUCCUUUGACUAAAUUAUAUUAAAAGUUCCUUGUGUUUACAAACGAUUUAGGAUGAUUUGUGCUGUUGGUCUAGACAGAAUUUGAUUUACAGUUUGGUCAAAUAAAUGAUUUAUAAUGGCAAACUGCCCGCUAUAAAAAUUUCCAAAAUAUUUUAUAUUUUGCGAGUUCAAUUAAUAAAAGUCUGAUUAAAAUACUUGAUCGAUUGACUUCAAAUGUCAUGAGUAGGUUGAGUUAAGUUGCCAGUUUGAUAUCUAAAAAAAUGGUAACUCUAACAAGUGUAAGUCUAUCCAUUCUGUCGCAAAUUAAUUUUGAAAUCAUGUCUAAAUUUUUAACUUUAACAGUUAUUUCCACUACCUUAUUCACCUUUAACGGGCAUGAAACUGUAACGAAAGUUACAGAGACAAUAAAGAUAAUGCACAAUACAAAAUGCAGAAAACUGGUUCAGCGCAAUCGAAACCACUGUAUAUCAAUCAGUGGGUGAUGACGAUGACUUGAAUGGACAAUUAUCAGUCAUCAUUUCAGCCAACCAAGAGGCAUAAUCAACAUUCAUGGGUGAACUUUGAAAAUCUAAAAGGUCAUUAAACGAUGAAUCAAUAGUUCCAUUGAUAUCUUGUUGAAGCUGUUGUUGCGACUUUGACUGUUAUUUCAACUCAAAUAACCAGUUCGUCCACAAAAUUUUGAAUAAGUAAAUGAUUAAUAAGUGUUUUUUUUGAAAAUAAUGAAGAUGCCGUCUAAGCCAGCUAAAUCUUAGCGUAAUAAAUUUAAUUGAGUAUGCUGAAUAAUGUAUUAUAGUUUCAGCUUUGAAAAAAUAACCAAACAGAUUGAAAAUUGCAGAAAACUGGAUUGAGUAUCAUUUCAAAAAAAAUCUUUAUCUACCGUUUAUCUUCCAUUUGGUCAAUCUGCUUUGCUACCAAAUCUUGACCUGAUUAUCACGCAAAUUCAAUUCAGAAUAAAUCAGUAAUUGAAAAGAAAUUAUAUCAUAGUUUUCAAAAUUUUCACCUAUUAUUAGACACCCAGUACAAGGUUACAAUCUAUAACCGAGAGACUUUUUUCGAAAUAACCGCCGAAUAGAAGCUUAUGUGUAUCACAUGGAAAUUUUAAACUUUCUGAAUUUCUCCGAAGUACUCUAGUACUAUUCUUUUAUUUGGAGAUCGGCAAAACAAUUAUACAUCUUUUCAAUAAAUUAAUAAUCACGCAAAUGUUUACAGAAAAUCUGAUAGUUUGAGAGUUAGAGAAAUGGCGGUCUUUUAAAGAUGAAAAAUGUGAAUAUCAUUAAUAAAUCCAGGACAAAUGAUCUCAAUCGAUUAGCAGAGUGUAGCUCAUGUUAAAUUCAAUUCUUGAUAUCAAUGAGAGAUAAAUAUUUUUCUUAAUCAAUUAGAUUUGAUUCAAAUUAUUUAUCUUACCUUUACCCAUUUUAAAUUUCCCUCCCUAAUAAAGAAAAAAACAGCCGGCUAUAGUAACCAAGUUCUAUUUCAUUAUUUUCCCACCUAACUCGUCGUAAACAAUGUACAGUUUUAAAUCAACAGCUCAGAAUUUUAUCCUUUAAAUUGUUUACCUCUGGUAGUUGAUUAUCCUGUUGAACAUCUUUUUACUCUUUGUUUACAGUCUUUUUUUGGGACCCUGAUGGAAGUAGAAGAAUGUUCAUCGUCUAAAGAAACUCAGACAAGCGCGGGUCCAUUCGAAAGUUAUUUUUCCACCAUUUUUGACAACCAAAGUCAAAACUAUUCUGGUUUAACCUUGUGUUCGAUUUGCUUGGAGCCCUGGGUUCAGGAUACGGAUCAUCGAAUAGUCAGUUUAAAAUGUGGUCAUCUUUUCGGUGGAGAGCUGCAUCAACAAAUGGUUUGGCAGCACAAAACAUGAUGAGGUUCAAUAGCUAGACCUGAACUCUCUUCUUUGUCAAUCAUGUAUCAAACUGAACAAACUUCGCUUUGAAGAAACUUUGGCAUAUGCAGCUGUGAAUCAGCUUCUUUCUUAAUGAUGGGUGCAUCAAAAAACUCAACUGGCUCUACUUUAUCCCAAUUAUUGUAUUUACCGGGAAAAUCGACUGAAAUAACAUGACCACAAACAGAGGUAAAUUUAAAGAAUGCAUCAUUAUAGCCAAGAAAUGGUCCAUGAUAUUCGUGAAUCGAGCAAGCUCCAUUACCACCUUUACGUGUCUGAUAACGACCAUUAGAUAAAAUUUUUGCCAAUGAUUCAGCCAAAGAUGGUUUCUCUGCUACCAUUAAUACGAUCACCUUGGAAAAUAUAGAAAAUGAAGAAAAGAAAAUCAAUAGAUUUCAAAUAAAGAUAUGCACAGCAUUUAUCAACGAUAUACACCAUUGAAA